CCAACGGCCCUCUUUAGGGCCACAUACUUAUGAUCCAAUUUUUUC
rfam:Caenorhabditis elegans chromosome X